UUUCCGUAGGUGAACCUGCGGAAGGAUCAUUAUCGAAUUUCGAGGGGAAGGAAGAUUAGUAGUGGAUACUGUCGCUUGCUUUCACGCCUGGGAAGCAUGUGCACGCCUGGCUGUUCGUUGACCUUUCUCCUACUCUCACACCUCUACACCCAUUGUAGGUCCUCGAAAGAGUAUCUAUGUUUUUAUCAUCCCACGCACCUUAUGUCCAUAGAAUGUAAAAUGAUCGUCGAUAGACCUCGCGGUCGGGUGGCGGUCUAAAUAAAUAAAUACAACUUUCAGCAACGGAUCUCUUGGCUCUC
rnacentral:misc_RNA from 1 species